UACGUAGGUGGCAAGCGUUGUCCGGAAUCACUGGGCGUAAAGCGCGCGCAGGCGGCGAUCUACGUCUGGGGUGAAAGCCCGGAGCUCAACUCCGGGACUGCCUUGGAUACGGGAUCGCUUGAGGAUUGGAGAGGCAAGGGGAAUUCCACGUGUAGCGGUGAAAUGCGUAGAUAUCUGGAGGAACACCGGUGGCGAAGGCGGCGUUCUGGACUGCAACUGACACUGAGGAACGAAAGCCAGGGGAGCAAACGGG
rnacentral:rRNA from 1 species